UCUGCAAUUGGCCUGUUACACUUGAUUCUGUUGUUGUCCAGGGGUACUUUUCUUCGUAUACCUCUACAUUUAUUUGGAAUAUAUGCAGAUAUGUACCUCUAAAGAAGAGAUAUCUCGGUGUGAUCAUGAAAGUGAGAAGUUGAUUCAAUGCAUGUUCAUCUACCGAGGUCCUUCUGUUAGUUGGAGUUAUGGCUACUCUUUUCGCCUUCACCGUCCUCUUGAGAGAGUCUUCAUUUCGCCAGGUUUUGGAGAUAAAGAUCAUUAGCUGCUACGAGCUAAGACUUCAUACAUAUAUACUUUUCUUUCCUCCUAGCAUCAAUAUUACAAUAAUCAUUGAUAUGUGGUCCAAACUGGAAAGGUCACAUUAUCGGAGAAGGGUAGAGAAGGAUCGGCAGAACAUGAAUGGGCUACAUGCCCAUCUAUUUUUGUGAUUCAAGAGGUGGCCGCCUCCCUAUCUACCUCUCGGAAGUGGCCGCCGUGGUACUUGAUCGUGGCCAAGCGAUUCAGCACCGAGGUCAUCGACCUCACCAAAGAG